CAUCAAGGAUUUAUAACUCAGCGUUCAUAGGAAGGGGCAGACAGACAUGGCUAGAUCGACUCGGCUAGUGAACACUUCCUUAGCUGCGGCCCAAAGAAUAAGAAAUUUAAUCUUAAGCGGUGUUCGUGCAAAGGCGGUGUGGAAACUAUAAGUUAAAAACGGAAGGACAACCCCAAAAUCGACUGCAGGAGGUCAGUGCAGAUGAAAUAGGACGCCUAAUCCAAGCUGUUGCCCAUUAUUGUGGGAUUUCACCGACAGGAAGCAAUACCACAACGGGGCAAAUCCGCAGAAUAGUUCCAGUGCUGGAGGAUAUUCCCAAGGGAGUCCCAGUGACAUUUUGCCGUGUCCUCGCAAAGAAACAGAACCACCCGUAUUACGAUCGCCGACGACCUCUCCAUUAGGACUGCGGAUACCACCACCAUCAGCUACUUGGCAGCUUAUGCGGAGCUGGAGGACCCGCUGGCUUCUAUAGGGAGGAGGAAAAUAGGACGCCCGCUAAGGAACAGUUGUAGAAGCCAUUGCCAGGAUGCUGGGCGACUUUCUGCAGCAUCAUGGGACGAGAAGGACGCUUAAAAUACUAAUAUUAUUUACUAAUUUAAUUACUAUUUUCAUUUUAGUUUUUUGAGCACCAGCAGACUCUUCUUUUUUAAAUUGUUCCAAUUGAUUUCUUUUGCGUUUGGCAACAAACCCAACUGCUUGACAGUAAGACCAUGCUACAUGCAUUGUGGGUGAACUUUCAAAUAUUCGGUCCCAUGGGUAAAUGUCUUGGGAAGUGAGACUGACGGAUGUGACCGUGCAAGAAAACGAUAGCAUUGAAACCACUUGAUUUUCUCGAAAUCGGUCGGUUUGAUUUUGCCGUAACUAGAGCUCCAAUUAAUUAUUUAGAAAUCGUAAGGAAGCCGCGUGUGUUCCCAAAGGGUAAAUGUCUCGGGAAGCGAGGCUGGCCAGUGUGACCGUGCAAGAAAACGACAGCAUUGAAACCACUCUUGACCACUUUUUAUUUUUGAAUUUUUUUGAUAUUUGGGGAUCAAAUUGAAUUGUUUAGAAAGAAAAGAUCUAUCGAUCUAGGUAAGUUUGGGACAGAUCCGAGGCCUAUUAAUUUUUCAAAAAUACAUUUGAAACACGAUUUAUCAAUUGCAUUUUUGAAAAAUUAAUGGGCCUCGGAUUUGCUAAAAGCCUACCUAGAUCGUUAGAUCUCUUCUUUUGGACAAAUUUGUUCGAUUUGGUUCCCCAUAAGCGAGAAAAUUUAAUAACAAAAAGAGCCCCAUGUUCGAAGUUCCACUAUUCCACUUUCGUUGCUAAGUGGUCGACGCUAAUUUAACGGACAUCAACAAUUUCCUUAUAACGGUGUAAUCGCAGUUCAAAUGCAUUUCCUUCUUAGAAAAUUCUGAAACUCUAAGUAAAACAAGGAAGAACACUAUAAUCGUGUAGAUAUCCAUCAGCUAAAGAGCAACUGAACUUCCACGUCCACUCCCUUUGGAUACGGUUUGCCUAUGCCGAUCAGCUGUUCGCUUCAGGAAUUUUCUAUGUGAACAAGAAUACGGUUAAAAAUUAAGAGGGUAUAUAGCACCGCUAACUAUAUCAAAGCACGUUACACAUCGGAUGCAAUUAGAGGCCUAAUUUAAUAGAGACUUAUAUACACGAAAACAUAUUCGUUUUAAAAAAGGAAGUACUUGAAUAGUUCUUAAAUGAAUUGUAAUAAAAUAGAUUGCAUUUAAAAUUAUGUAAAUAUAUGUAUGGGUCAAGAGUGGGUUUCAUAUCCUUGCAUA